CAAAGAGAUUAAUGACAGAAGGGCCCGAUUUCCCAGCCAUGAAGUCAAUACUUCUAGAGAGACAGGACACAGCCCUGACCGUCGCUAUGCCAUGGUUUUGUUUAGGAUAACCAGUGUAUUUUACAUGCUGUGGCUCCCCUAUAUCAUUUACUUUCUUCUAGAAAGCUCCCGGGUCUUGGACAAUCCAACACUGUCUUUCUUAACAACAUGGCUUGCUAUAAGUAAUAGUUUUUGUAAUUGUGUAAUAUAUAGCCUCUCCAACAGUGUUUUCCGGCUUGGCCUCCGAAGACUUUCAGAGACAAUGUGCACAUCUUGUGUAUGUGUGAAGAAUCAGGAAGCACGAGACCCCAUACCUAGGAAGCGGGCAAAUUCCUGCUCCAUUUGAAGAGAACUCACGGUAAACCACAUGGAAUCUGACAGUGGUUUUGGAUUGUACUCUUGAUUCACCUGGAAAUUUGCCACCAGAGAAAUAUUUACUUGAAUGGAUGACUGUGAAAUGAAGAAUGAGAUUGCAGAUCCCUCCCCACUUUUUCAUGGGGGAAAAGAACUAAAGGAAAGGAUGUGUAG
rnacentral:lncRNA from 1 species